rnacentral:rRNA from 2 species
GUGAAGGUGUGUCGUGAGGCAUGCUGGAGGUAUCAGAAGUGCGAAUGCUGACAUAAGUAACGAUAAAGCGGGUGAAAAGCCCGCUCGCCGGAAGACCAAGGGUUCCUGUCCAACGUUAAUCGGGGCAGGGUGAGUCGACCCCUAAGGCGAGGCCGAAAGGCGUAGUCGAUGGGAAACGGGUUAAUAUUCCCGUACUUGGUGUUACUGCGAAGGGGGGACGGAGAAGGCUAUGUUGGCCGGGCGACGGUUGUCCCGGUUUAAGCGUGUAGGUGUGUGUUCCAGGUAAAUCCGGUUCACUUUAACACUGAGGCGUGACGACGAGGCACUACGGUGCUGAAGCAACAAAUGCCCUGCUUCCAGGAAAAGCCUCUAAGCAUCAGGUAACAUCAAAUCGUACCCCAAACCGACACAGGUGGUCAGGUAGAGAAUACCAAGGCGCUUGAGAGAACUCGGGUGAAGGAACUAGGCAAAAUGGUGCCGUAACUUCGGGAGAAGGCACGCUGACACGUAGGUGAAGUGAUUUACUCAUGGAGCUGAAGUCAGUCGAAGAUACCAGCUGGCUGCAACUGUUUAUUAAAAACACAGCACUGUGCAAACACGAAAGUGGACGUAUACGGUGUGACGCCUGCCCGGUGCCGGAAGGUUAAUUGAUGGGGUCAGCGCAAGCGAAGCUCCUGAUCGAAGCCCCGGUAAACGGCGGCCGUAACUAUAACGGUCCUAAGGUAGCGAAAUUCCUUGUCGGGUAAGUUCCGACCUGCACGAAUGGCGUAAUGAUGGCCAGGCUGUCUCCACCCGAGACUCAGUGAAAUUGAACUCGCUGUGAAGAUGCAGUGUACCCGCGGCAAGACGGAAAGACCCCGUGAACCUUUACUAUAGCUUGACACUGAACAUUGAGCCUUGAUGUGUAGGAUAGGUGGGAGGCUUUGAAGUGUGGACGCCAGUCUGCAUGGAGCCGACCUUGAAAUACCACCCUUUAAUGUUUGAUGUUCUAACGUGGACCCGUUACCCGGGUUGCGGACAGUGUCUGGUGGGUAGUUUGACUGGGGCGGUCUCCUCCUAAAGAGUAACGGAGGAGCACGAAGGUUGGCUAAUCCUGGUCGGACAUCAGGAGGUUAGUGCAAUGGCAUAAGCCAGCUUGACUGCGAGCGUGACGGCGCGAGCAGGUGCGAAAGCAGGUCAUAGUGAUCCGGUGGUUCUGAAUGGAAGGGCCAUCGCUCAACGGAUAAAAGGUACUCCGGGGAUAACAGGCUGAUACCGCCCAAGAGUUCAUAUCGACGGCGGUGUUUGGCACCUCGAUGUCGGCUCAUCACAUCCUGGGGCUGAAGUAGGUCCCAAGGGUAUGGCUGUUCGCCAUUUAAAGUGGUACGCGAGCUGGGUUUAGAACGUCGUGAGACAGUUCGGUCCCUAUCUGCCGUGGGCGCUGGAGAACUGAGGGGGGCUGCUCCUAGUACGAGAGGACCGGAGUGGACGCAUCACUGGUGUUCGGGUUGUCAUGCCAAUGGCACUGCCCGGUAGCUAAAUGCGGAAGAGAUAAGUGCUGAAAGCAUCUAAGCACGAAACUUGCCCCGA